GACGUAGGGUGCGAGCGUUUUGUCCGGAUUUUUAUUUGGGCGUAAAGAGCUCGUAGGCGGCUUGUCGCGUCUGUUGUGAAAGCCCCGGGGGCUUUAACCCCCGGGUCUGCAGUGGGAUACGGGGCAGGCUAGAGGCAGGGUAGGGGGGAGAACGGAAAUUCCUGGUGUAGCGGUGAAAUGCGCAGAUAUCAGGAGGAACACCGGUGGCGAAGGCGGAUCUCUGGGCCGAUACUGACGCUGGAGGAGCGAAAAGCGUGGGGGAGCGAACAGG
rnacentral:rRNA from 1 species